ensembl:lncRNA
CUGUGUUUUGGGGAGUGUUUGAGGGCUCUCAGACAGACAUUUUUCCAAUCCUUUUGCCCAAGGGAAUUACCCCCAGUCAUUGCAAUUCAACGUUAAAACGGGAUAACCAGUGAAGGCGCGGAGACGUAAAAGAAGAGACUGACGUGGAAAAUCGUAAAGAGGAGAAGGUGGGCGUCCGAAACUGGAUUGAAGUUGAUGGAGGAAGCUGAAAGCGUGGGCACAAUGGCAGGCAUUGCACAACAGCAGAAGGAGCUGACUGCUAAAAGUCUAUGGAAGGUCUAUGGAAGGGUUUGCAGAGGUAUGGAUGAGCCGGCCGCGGUCUCAGACAAGCCCUAAGCUGAAUGUUGCUGACGGAUGGAGGAGCCAGGCACCAGUGCUGAGAGGAACGUGAUGACGAC